CGGCAAUGAUACCCAGAUCAUGAAGUGGAAGAAACAGGCUGAGGUAAGUGUGAGUCUUAAACAUAUGUAAACACAAUCUGAUUCAGCCUAUUUCAUAAUUCUGUUAUUUCAAGGUGAUUACACAGGCUACCUUAUUUAUGAGUACAAUGAGUGGUUAUUACGUGUAUGUCAGUAAUCUCAAUGUUAAUUCCAGACUAAGAUAUUUAAGAGGAGACUGGCCUAUUCCCAGGAGGAAACGGUGAUGUACGGAACGUUCUCAAUGACCUGGGACAAUGUCCAAAUGUAUUCAGACCCUUUGCUUUGAGACUGGAAAUUGAGCUCAUGUGCAUCCUGUUUCCAUUGAUCAUCCUAGAUAUGUCUUUACAACCUAAACUGAAUGGAUACGUAAUACAUAAAAAUGUACGCAAAAAUAAAAUGCAAAAAUGCAAAUGAAA